rnacentral:rRNA from 1 species
AGUGAACGCUGGCGGUAGGCCUAACACAUGCAAGUCGAACAGCAGCACAGUAAGAGCUUGCUCUUACGGGUGGCGAGUGGCGGACGGGUGAGGAAUACAUCGGAAUCUACUUUUUCGUGGGGGGUAACGUAGGGAAACUUACGCUAAUACCGCAUACGACCUACGGGUGAAAGCAGGGGAUCUUCGGACCUUGCGCGAUUGAAUGAGCCGAUGUCGGAUUAGCUAGUUGGCGGGGUAAAGGCCCACCAAGGCGACGAUCCGUAGCUGGUCUGAGAGGAUGAUCAGCCACACUGGAACUGAGACACGGUCCAGACUCCUACGGGAGGCAGCAGUGGGGAAUAUUGGACAAUGGGCGCAAGCCUGAUCCAGCCAUACCGCGUGGGUGAAGAAGGCCUUCGGGUUGUAAAGCCCUUUUGUUGGGAAAGAAAAGCAGCAGGUUAAUACCCCGCUGUUCUGACGGUACCCAAAGAAUAAGCACCGGCUAACUUCGUG